rnacentral:rRNA from 1 species
AGUGAACGCUGGCGGUAGGCCUAACACAUGCAAGUCGAACGGCAGCACAGUAAGAGCUUGCUCUUACGGGUGGCGAGUGGCGGACGGGUGAGGAAUACAUCGGAAUCUACUUUUUCGUGGGGGAUAACGUAGGGAAACUUACGCUAAUACCGCAUACGACCUACGGGUGAAAGCAGGGGAUCUUCGGACCUUGCGCGAUUGAAUGAGCCGAUGUCGGAUUAGCUAGUUGGCGGGGUAAAGGCCCACCAAGGCGACGAUCCGUAGCUGGUCUGAGAGGAUGAUCAGCCACACUGGAACUGAGACACGGGCCAGACUCCUACGGGAGGCAGCAGUGGGGAAUAUUGAACAAUGGGCGCAAGCCUGAUCCAGCAAUACCGCGUGGGUGAAGAAGGCCUUCGGGUUGUAAAGCCCUUUUGUUGGGAAAGAAAAGCAGCAGGUUAAUACCCCGCUGUUCUGACGGUACCCAAAGAAUAAGCACCGGCUAACUUCGUG